rnacentral:misc_RNA from 1 species
GAAAUGUGAUAAUUAAUGUGAAUUGCAGAAUUCAGUGAAUCAUCGAGUCUUUGAACGCACAUUGCGCCCCCUGGUAUUCCGGGGGGCAUGCCUGUCCGAGCGUCAUUGCUGCCCUCAAGCACGGCUUGUGUGUUGGGCUUCCGUCCCUGGCAACGGGGACGGGCCCAAAAGGCGGUGGCGGCACCAUGUCUGGUCCUCGAGCGUAUGGGGCUUUGUCACCCGCUCCCGUAGGUCCAGCUGGCAGCUAGCCUCGCAACCAAUCUUUUUAACCAGGUUGACCUCGGAUCAGGUAGGGAUACCCGCUGAACUUAAGC